rnacentral:rRNA from 1 species
CGGCGUGCCUAAUACAUGCAAGUCGAACGCACUGACGUCGACAGAAGGUGCUUGCACUGGAAGUUGAUUGACGUGAGUGGCGGACGGGUGAGUAACACGUGGGUAACCUGCCCUUAAGCGGGGGAUAACAUUUGGAAACAGAUGCUAAUACCGCAUAAAAGUUGAGAUCACAUGGUCUUAAUUUGAAAGACGGCCUUUGGCUGUCACUUAAGGAUGGACCCGCGGCGUAUUAGCUAGUUGGUGAGAUAAUAGCCCACCAAGGCGAUGAUACGUAGCCGACCUGAGAGGGUAAUCGGCCACAUUGGGACUGAGACACGGCCCAAACUCCUACGGGAGGCAGCAGUAGGGAAUCUUCCACAAUGGACGAAAGUCUGAUGGAGCAACGCCGCGUGAGUGAAGAAGGUUUUCGGAUCGUAAAACUCUGUUGUUGGAGAAGAACAGGGACUAGAGUAACUGUUAGUCCUUUGACGGUAUCCAACCAGAAAGCCACGGCUAACUACGUGCCAGCAGCCGCGGUAAUACGUAGGUGGCAAGCGUUGUCCGGAUUUAUUGGGCGUAAAGCGAGCGCAGGCGGUUUCUUAAGUCUGAUGUGAAAGCCUUCGGCUUAACCGAAGAAGUGCAUCAGAUACUGGGAAACUUGAGUACAGAAGAGGAAAGUGGAACUCCAUGUGUAGCGGUGAAAUGCGUAGAUAUAUGGAAGAACACCAGUGGCGAAGGCGGCUUUCUGGUCUGUAACUGACGCUGAGGCUCGAAAGUAUGGGGAGCGAACAGGAUUAGAUACCCUGGUAGUCCAUACCGUAAACGAUGAAUGCUAAGUGUUGGAGGGUUUCCGCCCUUCAGUGCUGCAGCUAACGCAUUAAGCAUUCCGCCUGGGGAGUACGACCGCAAGGUUGAAACUCAAAGGAAUUGACGGGGGCCCGCACAAGCGGUGGAGCAUGUGGUUUAAUUCGAAGCUACGCGAAGAACCUUACCAGGUCUUGACAUCUAGCGCCAAUCCUAGAGAUAGGACGUUCCCUUCGGGGACGCUAAGACAGGUGGUGCAUGGUUGUCGUCAGCUCGUGUCGUGAGAUGUUGGGUUAAGUCCCGCAACGAGCGCAACCCUUAUGAUUAGUUGCCAGCAUUUAGUUGGGCACUCUAAUCAGACUGCCGGUGACAAACCGGAGGAAGGUGG